GUCACUUUGGCGGAGUGGUUAACGCGCUGCCCUGCUAAGCUUUAGCAUAGGCAGUUCCCUCGGGAGCGUAGGUUCGAAUCCUACAGGUGACG